rfam:Aedes aegypti strain Liverpool supercont1.402 genomic scaffold, whole genome shotgun sequence.
UGCCCAGCAACUCCUAUCCCUACCUCCUCGCGGUACUGGCCGGGGUACGAGUAACCUUAGGGGAGAUCGGGUAACCAACCCCCGGUGGGAACUUUGGUCGUAUGCUGACAGGGAAGG